GACUUGAUAGCUCAGUUAGUAGAACACUGCACCUGUAAUCACAGGGUCAUGUGUUCAAAUUCCAUUCAAGCCA